AGAGUUUGAUUCUGGCUCAGGACGAACGCUGGCGGCGUGCUUAACACAUGCAAGUCGAACGAGACGAUUGAAAGCUUGCUUUUGAGAGUCGAGUGGCAAACGGGUGAGUAACGCGUAGACAACCUGCCGUAAAGAUGGGGACAACAGUUCGAAAGGACUGCUAAUACCGAAUGUUGUAGAGUUUCCGCAUGGGAAUCCUACUAAAGGUGGCCUCUACUUGUAAGCUAUCGCUUUACGAUGGGUCUGCGUCUGAUUAGCUAGUUGGUGGGGUAACGGCUUACCAAGGCGACGAUCAGUAGCCGGUCUGAGAGGAUGAACGGCCACAUUGGAACUGAGACACGGUCCAG
rnacentral:rRNA from 1 species